AUUUAUAUAGUUUAAAUCAAACAUUACAUUUUCACUGUAAAAAUAAAGGCCUCACUUUUAUAAAUG
rnacentral:tRNA from 1 species